rfam:Salmo salar isolate Sally breed double haploid chromosome ssa10, whole genome shotgun sequence.
UCCCAUGUGGCUCAGUUGGUAGAGCAUGCUGUUUGCAAUGCCAGGGUUGUGGGUUCGAUUCCCACGGGGGAC